rnacentral:rRNA from 1 species
UACGUAGGGUGCAAGCGUUGUCCGGAAUUAUUGGGCGUAAAGAGCUCGUAGGCGGUCUGUCGCGUCUGCUGUGAAAACUCGGGGCUUAACCCCGGGCCUGCAGUGGGUACGGGCAGACUAGAGUGCGGUAGGGGAGACUGGAAUCCUGGUGUAGCGGUGAAAUGGCGCAGAUAUCAGGAGGAACACCGGUGGCGAAGGCGGGUCUCUGGGCCGAUACUGACGCUGAGGAGCGAAAGCGUGGGGAGCAAACAGG